CACGUAGGGCGCAAGCGUUGUCCGGAAUUAUUGGGCGUAAAGAGCUCGUAGGCGGUCUGUUGCGUCCGCUGUGAAAACUUGGGGCUUAACCCCCAAGCCUGCUUCCGAUACGGGCGGACUAGAGGUAGGCAGGGGGAGAACGGAAUUCCUGGUGUAGCGGUGAAAUGCGCAGAUAUCUGGAGGAACACCGGUGGCGAAGGCGGCAUCCUGGACCGGCAUUGACGCUGAGGCGCGGAAAGCUAGGGGGAGCAAACGGGG
rnacentral:rRNA from 1 species